rnacentral:rRNA from 1 species
AACGAACGCUGGCGGCAUGCCUAACACAUGCAAGUCGAACGAGACCUUCGGGUCUAGUGGCGCACGGGUGCGUAACGCGUGGGAACCUGCCCUUAGGUUCGGAAUAACUCCCCGAAAGGGGUGCUCAUACCGGAUAAUGUCUUCGGACCAAAGAUUUAUCGCCUUUGGAUGGGCCCGCGUUGGAUUAGCUAGUUGGUAGGGUAAAAGCCUACCAAGGCGACGAUCCAUAGCUGGUCUGAGAGGAUGAUCAGCCACACUCGGACUGAGACACGGCCCAGACUCCUACGGGAGGCAGCAGUGGGGAAUAUUGGACAAUGGGCGAAAGCCUGAUCCAGCAAUGCCGCGUGAGUGAUGAAGGCCUUAGGGUUGUAAAGCUCUUUUACCCGGGAUGAUAAUGACAGUACCGGGAGAAUAAGCUCCGGCUAACUCCGUG